CAAGGGUUAAUCUGUCCCAAAUUCAUCAUUGUGACAGCCAAGUUCACAAAUAAGUCCUGCCUGAGGCUAUCCUGACCUUGCCAUUUAAUGUUCAGAUUUGAUAGAGACCCAGGGAAACUGAGGACAGACUGCACACCUGUUCUCUGUACCCUGUCAUCUCUAGGUCUCUGAAGUGACGCAUCAAAAGUUCUGCUGAUGUGAGCCCUCACUGUCACAUUCAUACACCACCCUCACCAAGAUGCCCCCAACCCUGCUCCAGACAACAGUACUUGUGGGAAUGACCCCUGUCACCAAGAG
rnacentral:lncRNA from 1 species